AAAGGUGCAUGAGUGGUGUUUGGUUUGUUACGGGUGGUUGGCUCUUUGCUUGCGCAACAACUUCCACCUGGCAUACCUCUUCAGUCUUGUGUCAAUGCUUGUAUCGCAUUGAAUGCAUAGUGGGUUUCCUGUGUUGCAUGCCUAAUGAUGGUAUCAUUUGAAGAAUUGAUGUCCAUUUUCGUCUUGUGUUGCACAUGCGAUGUGAGAUGAACCUUGAAGCAGCCUUUGUGUUCCACUCUUUCGAUGCACACAUUGAUUUUGUGGCCCACUAAGUGUUGCUUGGUCUCAUGGAUAUGGAACCUAGUGUGGGCAUGGGAUCUUUUACUAGUUCCUUGUUUGCCCUAGUUUAGCUUUUCUAAUACGAUUGUCUAUCAUGUCUUGACGUGGUAGGCUAUAUCGAAUAUGAAUGCUACCUGGUUGAUCCUGCCAGUAGUCAU
rnacentral:misc_RNA from 1 species